rnacentral:lncRNA from 1 species
GGGUGCAUUCAAAAGCCAACAAUGUCACAUUUCUGAAUUGUGACCACCACCUCUCUUCCACGAGAGAACCUCAGUCCUGUUUCACCCCCUUUAAAUUAGUUUCCAAUGUUGGAUGUUAUUUAUUUCCCACCCUCCAACCUGUAGCUGUGUGGGGGCUCAGCACACGAGCACAGCCCUUCAACCUGGAAGAGGACAGCAGAGGAAUUCCAUAGCACUGCUUGCCAGAAUGCUGCCCUUCCUGGUAAGCCUUCAGGGCCUCGGGCUCACAUCUUGUAGCUGACUAAAAGUCACAGAAAGACCGAAAAGAAACCACCACCAACAAAAAAGAAGUGUAGUUUUUCAAUAUUAAAUCUUUAUUAUAUACAAAAAUAUUUUGUUGGGAAUUAACAGAAUUUCACAAUUUGUACAUUAAUAUCUUUACGCUUGGCUGUGUUUAUUGUGAAAAUAUUAGCUGUGAAAAACACAAUGGGGGUUUUAGAAAACAAGUUACCAUUUAAAAAUGUCCUAUGCAGGAGCUGAUCGAUAGAAAGUCAGCGUGCUAUCGAGUCCCACCUCCUAGGCCUGCUCUAAAGCAUUGUAUUCAAACAACAGGUAGUUACUCAGUCAGCUUCAGUUUCACAUUAGAAAAUGUAUUUAGUAGUUAAGAUCGCUUUGUAGGAUAUUUUCAGCUAAUAGAAAGUAUUUCUCUACAGGAGAGCAGUUCUUCAACAUUUACAAGUUUUAAAUCCAGUUUAGUUUAAUAUUCUGUAGAAGGGAAAAAAAAAAUUCAUGCAAAGCUUCCAAGAGGGAAAAACGGGUAUGAGAAUAAGCAGGGAAAGAAAUGCACGCUGACACUUUUAACACAUUUAAAUCAAAACACUUAGACAAGGUUUGGUAGUUCUUAGCCCAGCUGGGGGUGAGAGGGUGCCAAAGUUUCUGCUUUAAAACCUAAGGAAGAGGUUCCCCCUUACACGGGACUACUCAGGUGUUACGCACAGGAGAUGCAUACUGCAGGAGUCGGGGCAGGGAAAGCUCAACGUGCGUUUUCAGUGGGGGAAAAACCCCUUUCUGCAGUUCUCUCCAUGUAGAAUUGCACAAGAGGAACCAACACGAAUGGGUAAAACAAAAAAAGCCACAACAAUUUUUGCUGCCACUCCCAGAACUGUACAAAGCGGUGUCAUUAACGCUGCUCUGUAUCUCAUACGAGAGGUCAAAUGACUGCGAAGUUACUCGGGCUGUUGGGAGAGGUUUACCACACUCCAGGUGAGUGCUGUCUGCCUGUGGAGCGAUGACUUACAUCGGCUGUGAAGGCAGCCAAACUUACUUGCACAGACGUGCAUUACCGUGGAGGUAACAACACUAAAAGAAUGAAUGGGAGAAAAUGUUUCCAGGACUACUUUAACCCCUGUAGGUUGGUCCUAUUCCCCAUCCAACCUCUGCAUUAGCAGCAAAAGAAAAUCCAUACCCGAUUAGCAUGAGAAAAGGUUAAGAAUACCAAGAACAGAAUUCACACUUACUUUCAAUGUGUACUAUAAGAUCUAAAAUAUUGCUGAAACUCUCCUUUAAAAAAGGAAGGAAAAAAAAAGUCUAUUUGGAGGUAAAACUGCUACACAGCCUUUACUGAGCUGAAAUCUUCAUGUGAGCAGCUACGUUCCAGCUCCACUACCAGGAAAUGAACAAAGAAUUCAGCAGUUUAAUGUAACGCUUUGUGGAACAGUAUCCCACUGUGGUCCAAAAUGGAGAAUUCAAGUACGUUAGCAAAUACUGUUCUAUUUACUUGCAGUAUAUUAAUCCUAAGUUCUAUUUCUCUAUCUCUACCUAUAAAUUUGUGUGAGUACGCUUCUACUAUUUGGAAGCCAAAGCUGCCUCUGAAAAUUGGUUACUUUUGCAUUUUAUUUAAUGUAAUACAAUUUUUCCUUUUGCAUCCAGUAUAGGACUGCCAACAGCCAGUUGCACUGCUCUUAAAUGCCACUGCUUAUGUUGACCGCUGCGUCCUCUGACGGAGGCAAGGUGAGAAUCCCAGACCAUUCACGUCUGUAUGGGUUAAAAAUGUGAAAACCAAAAAGAGUGGGGAAAAAAACAAAACAGGGCCAGAACCUCAGCAUCUCCCAGAACAACAGUCCACGGUGACAGUCCGCAGAGAAAUCCAAGUGCCUUGCGCUGAAGAAACCCCGUGAAUGGCCCAGGAGAGGUUUUCUGUAAGAACUCCAGGGAUAUUUAAGGCAAGAGGUCUGGCAGAAUAGAAGUCUUUUGUAUCAAUUAAGUGCUAUCUAAACGUGGACAAAUCGAUCUCUGAACGCUUUUGCAGAAGAAGUAGUGUUAAAUUUGGCAAUAACAACGCAAUGCUUUAACCCUUCAGAAUUCGGGUGAGGCGAGAAACCCUGCAGGAAGCAAAUAUUCCAUACAUCUUAGCAUGAUAGAUGCGACAGACUUCCACCUGUAAUUAGUGUUAGAGCUGUACCUACAGGCACAGAGUGACUGGGAAGCUACUGCAGCAGGCACUAUAGAUGUUCUGAGAAUUGGCAUCUGCCUCCAAGUUCAGUCUGAAGGAUGAAGAUAGAUGAAGACUGGAUGGGAAGCCAAGGAAUAGGGAGAGAAGUUUGGGUUGGAUCACAUUCACAGUAACAGCCUGUGUAAAAACAGAUAACCCAGCUCUCCUGAUCUCUGGAGUUGUGCUCUACUUGUCAUUCUCUACUGGUCCUUUCUUAAGCACAGCAGAGAGGCAAACUUGGCUUCAAAGGGUCCCUAGCCAGGAAUUUUCUGUCUUGAAAAGAGAAAGGAAAAUUUCCUAUUAUUAAUCAUCUGAAUCACCCUAAAAAAAAACCCCAUAAGAAACCAUGGAACACUUCCUGAACGCUGAGCUGCUGGCAAUUUGUACAGCAAAUCAUUCAGGUGGGAUUUUAGAGGACACGAUGAGUUAGGACAGAAGAUAAGGAAAAAACAAGUUGCAUUUUGAGCCUACCAAGGAUGUGACAGACUAUACAAACACGGAUUCAGAAAGAGCCCAUCUGCUAUCCUGCAGCUUUUGUAUGACUGAGUACACAGAGCUGCACUCAUCUGAGAACUCUGCAGACUGAGAGUACCACAUGGGGUGUAGGCUUAUUUCCCUUGCCUGUGUCAGUACGUGGUACCGCUCCAAUUUUACCUUCAUUUUAUGCUUGCAGAUCAUUAUUAAAGCCCUUUGUACGUCUAUGCAAGAUGACAUAUUACACCAAACUUUAACUGACUGCGUGUUGUCACACGACAGAACCUAAAGUAGACCUGCAGGUCUAACAGUUAGGGACAGCAAGGUAAUCGUGUGGGUAUAAAUGCACCAAAGUAUUUACAUUAAGGUUGAGACUGGUGUAUGGUUAGGGGCAUUUUUGGUGCAUUUAAGGAAAUAACUUACGGGUCUUGGCGUACUGACUGUGUUUUUAUGUAUAACUUUUCAUACAGAGGGCAACUACAGUGUUUCUUCUAUAAGUCUCUCUAUAUGUACAGAAUUUUACAGCACCUCCAUGCACUGUUUAAAACAUAGAAAUUACAGAUAAAUAUAGAAUUUUUAGAUUGAAAUAUCUGUAUAUUUAGAAAAAUAUACAUUAGUAAACACAAUAAACCAGGUAGAGAAGUGUACCAGUUCUAAAGUCUCACAUGCAGGUACAUUUCUGGAUUAAGUCAUGGGAGAUAGCAAUGUGGUAGCAGACAUGAGCAUUUUUGUUUCACCAUCCACAUACAUACAUAUACACAGACAACUAUUUGAUAAUUCACUUUUCUAAUCUACUUAAAUAUUUAUCUUGUGAUACAUACCACAUAUCUUAAACAUUUAGCAGCAUCUUCGCCUCGCUCAGACACACCUAUUGUUACUAACAGUCAAUGUAAAAAGUUUUCCUGUUAUCUGGAAAAUGAAUGCUCAGUACGGAAUGAGAGACGUGACAUCCUAGCUAUUUAUCCCCCAGGAAUACUUCAAACAGCUCUUAUAUGAAAUGGCUUCCCUUGCUCAGAACUCGCCUUCCACACCAUCUUUUCCCUCGCAGCGCAACGUACAGCUCCCUGCCCAACUUCUGACCUAGCACACUGUAACAGGUGGAGUCUGUCACCGCCGUGUACGUGACCAACAUGGCAUCCUCAUUCUAAGACUCUCCAGGAAAGCUUUGGUUUAAUAAAAGUAACUUAUUUUCAAUCCAGUCACCUACUACGCAGCAAUAAUCUAAGCAGAAUAUCUGAUGAAAAAAAUAAUUCCCAAACACUGUACACCUGCCAACAUGGACUCUCAAUCAGUAUGAUUCAACAAACAGAUGCAAGGAAUGUAUUUUUUCCUUCUUUAAACUUGCAAAUGACCAUCCAGUUAAGACCUGCAUUCACUUCGAUAACGGUCCUUGAAUGCAACCUUAGCAACCCAUUGCUUAUUGCUUCAGAUCGUACCUCUCAUUAGCAUCUAUAUUAACAGCAGCAGAGGGUCAGCUGCUGGGCUCCACUGUGCUAACUUCAAUGUGCUUGAUUGCUAAACACUGUGUGGAGCUUAAGUAAAAGCUAAAGCUUCAGGCUUCAGCAAAUACACGGCUACUUGGAGACUGCUUACUAUGUAGGCUCUUUUCACAGUAUGAUCUCUGAGAUGGAAAUAGGAGGAGUGAGGUUUUCGUGACUAAACCUUGGUGCCCGUGUCUCGUGGGAUUCUUUUGGCUGAGUACAUGUCUGAAAAAUGAUGAAAAGAGGUGAUGUCUGCAAUAUCAACUACUAUGGGGUGGAAACUGAAGAAUCAUCUCGUUCCGUUCUUGAAGGAAGAGUGAGCUCAGCCCACUUUUGGCAUCACAAAUAGAGUAUUUUCUAACUCCUAAUGAAAAGGCAUCGCAUCUGUCCAGGAAGCACAUCUUAUUUACAGCACAUGUAGGUCUUCUAUUACACAGCAUACAAACACAAUUCCGUCACGUUAAGCUUAUAAUGCCAAAACAAAAUCACUCAAAUAGUCAAGCAACGGCUCUGCUGUCUUUGCUGCUACAUAAAACACUCCAUCUAUUUCUCAGAGCAGCCUCUGAGUGACAGGAUCACAGAACACGUCUCUGGGAAAGGCAAAUAAAGGGCUGGCGCUGAUGCUGCCGCGCUUAAAUAAAACCAGAGCAAACAAAGCCAAUAAAGCAAAGUAGUGGCACAAAUUUUCCUUCGGAACUUUCAGAUUCCUUCCCUAAGACUGAAAUCUCAGAGUUCAGAGCCAGGACAACGCCCCGUGCUUACACAGCUCUCACAUUCUCCAAAUCCACUGUGAUCUUAAGCUGCCCCCUGCCCAACAGCCAACUUUUCUGUAGCAUACAGGUGGGGUGGUUUUGCUUUUUGAGAUGUAAGCUUUUCCUAUAUAAUAUCAACGGUUUCUCAUGUGCACGUAGAAGGCAUUAAGAGCCCCAGGAACCAAUACUGCUUUACAGUGUGCAGGCCUCUUUUCCUUCAGAAACACUUCUGAGGAAAUUGCCUUUUUGUGUGUUCUGUAUCACAUUUUGGUGCCGAAAAAGAAUCCAGAAGCAAGGUGCCUGUCACCAGAUGGAAGAGAAAUUAAGCGCAUAGAUGACUCCUGUUUAGCCCGGUAAGCAAUGGUGAAUGCUGCUAUAUACAACAGCUAACAGGAUAAUAUAAAACGUGAUCACAAAAAGAGCCAGUCUCGGUGACAAGCUGUAUUUUCAUUUUGUUCUUGUCAAGCAGAAACGUACAUUAGCACAAGCUUUGAUCGACGAACCUAACGUGAGUUAUGUCUAUGAGCCUACAAAGGGGAGAACUGUCACCAUACACAAAAAGAAGCGUGUUGUAAAGCACAAAAAUUACGAACAGCGUGGCUUUUUAGCAGUAAGCUUCCAAUUCACAAGCUAUCUAAUGAAAAAAUCAAUUAAAAACACAAUGCAACAAAGAGCACGGAAAUUCCAUUACAUCACACUCAAAAAUACAACAGUUGUUCACACAAAUUUUCUAAAAGAACACAAAACUCAGCUAGAUAUCUCAGAAAAUUAAGCCACAGAUCACUACAUAAACAUCAGAUGAUGUCCUAAGAAAAGAAAAUGCUGGCUUGGGGUCUUUUUUGUUUUGUUUUUUUUUUCCUUUUUUAAAUCAAUGUGUUUUCACACGCAUGAAUACAACAGUCCUAAAUGUUAAGCUUUACUCUACAAGGCUCCGCUAUCAGGUUCUCUCUCCGGCUACAUCAGCACUGCACUGAGUUACCUUGCAUACACGCUCCCUGCCGUAGGUACUUCCACCACAAGAGGCUUCUGACGGGUUGGCUCCCAACAACAGCUGAUGAGCAGCUUGCAAGGUAUUGCUUCGUGUGAUUUCAAGGGACGCAUAAGGGAACCUACAGAACAGUUGUCUAAAUCAAGAGACAUCAGGAAUUCAUGAAACAUCAAGAAUGCUUCAACAUUCAGCAGAAGGAAGCUGGAGCAAUGGAGCUGUGUCGCUUGUUGCUUUUAGCAUUUGAAAUUCUACUCCUGUCAAAUCAUUACUUCUUAAGGAAGAAAAAGAAAUUAGUGUUGUUUCCUAAUAAGAGCCAUAGACUUUUGACCGGUUAAACACUGACAUUAACGAGUUUUACAAAAAUUGUUUCAAGUAUCCUCUUUUUAGUCACAGUGAAAAUGUAAGACCAGGAUGUAAAUGUCAAAGUGAAGGACUCAAAGUUUCUCGGAUGAAAAAGGCAAAGGUACUAAAUCAAAACGUAUAAAAUGCUUAAACGCAUUUCCUUCAUGUGAUAUGAAUAGAAAGGUUAUCUGUAAAAAGUUAGAAAAAUUAAAAUAAAUUACAUAUUUAAGUACACUUUCCCUUCAGCAUCAUUAUAAAAAGUCAGAAUAGUGUACUUCUGAAUAUACACAGAGUAAAAAUGCGCAGGCGCCGCAGCUAUCAUCGCUAUCUACACCACAUCUCGUCACGUUAGUUUGUUUGCUGCAGUUGGUUUUAUUUGUUACUUAAGCUCAUCUUCAGCAAUCUCAGUACACCCAGCUAAUCGGGACCCACUGUGGUUCCAGCCUCAGCUUCUCUAUAGCAGUCUGCAGCUUCUCAAAGGCUUUGUCCAGGUUGUCAUUUACAAUGGUCAGAUCGAAGUAGUGGUUGUACGCUCUCUGGAUCCGGGCACUUUCAUCCACUGUUUUUUUCAGAUCAGUGUCAGUGAGAAGUUUGGUUGUAAUUCCAGCAUCUACCACAGCCUUGUGCAUAGCACGCAAAGUCUCCAACUCUGGAGCAGCAAUGAACACCACGUAGGGCAUGAAUUCCGAAGUCCUCAGUAUUUUCAGGGCCUGUGGAUUCACAUCCAAAAUGCAGGUCCUUCCUGUCUGAACAACUUCAAGGAUAGAAUCAAUUUUAGUGCCAUAAAGAUUUCCUUCAUAUUCUCCAUGCUCUAAGUAUCUGCCAGCUUUAAUAUCCAUCUCCAUUUCAGCUCGUGACACAAAUCUGUAUGCUUGUCCAUCCUUUUCAUCAUCCCUUGGCUUUCGUGAAGUAAAUGGCACUGUAGUUCCAAACCUAGUAGGAUUCAGUACUAUAAACCUGUUCUUCAAGCUUCUUCGUCCCACUCCCUGGGCCCCAAUUAAGACCAGUGUUUUCCUCUGAAAAGGAGGCAUUUUGGCUACUUCUUCAUAGAUCUGGAUUUCAUGACGAUCAAAUUCUGCAUUUCUUGUAGUAAGAUACAUCAUCUUUUUCUUUUUUUUGCUGCUUAUUGUUCCGCAGAAAGGCCC